rnacentral:ncRNA from 1 species
UAAUAAGUGAUGAUGGGAAUUAGUAGACUGAUCGAUCCAUUCAGAGAGGAAGUGGUUGCUGCAAACUUCUUGGUAGGUCUUUCGAAGCUGUCCUUGAGCUUUAUUUUAAUGAGAUGCAGAAAUUUUUCUGUAAUUAGGGUGGUACCGCGGAAUAGACUUUCGUCCCUUGA